rnacentral:rRNA from 1 species
GACGAACGCGGCGGCGUGCCUAAUACAUGCAAGUAGAACGCUGAAGGAGGAGCUUACUUCUCCGGAUGAGUUGCGAACGGGUGAGUAACGCGUAGGUAACCUGCCUGGUAGCGGGGGAUAACUAUUGGAAACGAUAGCUAAUACCGCAUAAGAGUAGAUGUUGCAUGACAUUUGCUUAAAAGGUGCAAUUGCAUCACUACCAGAUGGACCUGCGUUGUAUUAGCUAGUUGGUGGGGUAACGGCUCACCAAGGCGACGAUACAUAGCCGACCUGAGAGGGUGAUCGGCCACACUGGGACUGAGACACGGCCCAGACUCCUACGGGAGGCAGCAGUAGGGAAUCUUCGGCAAUGGACGGAAGUCUGACCGAGCAACGCCGCGUGAGUGAAGAAGGUUUUCGGAUCGUAAAGCUCUGUUGUAAGAGAAGAACGAGUGUGAGAGUGGAAAGUUCACACUGUGACGGUAUCUUGCCAGAAAGGGACGGCUAACUACGUGCCAGCAGCCGCGGUAAUACGUAGGUCCCGAGCGUUGUCCGGAUUUAUUGGGCGUAAAGCGAGCGCAGGCGGUUAGAUAAGUCUGAAGUUAAAGGCUGUGGCUUAACCAUAGUACGCUUUGGAAACUGUUUAACUUGAGUGCAAGAGGGGAGAGUGGAAUUCCAUGUGUAGCGGUGAAAUGCGUAGAUAUAUGGAGGAACACCGGUGGCGAAAGCGGCUCUCUGGCUUGUAACUGACGCUGAGGCUCGAAAGCGUGGGGAGCAAACAGG